rnacentral:rRNA from 1 species
CAGCCGCCGCGGGAAUACGAGGGGGGCGAGCGUUGUUCGGAAUUAUUGGGCGUAAAGGGUGCGUAGGCGGUUUGGUAAGUCUGAUGUGAAAUCUAUGGGCUCAACUCAUAGUCUGCAUCGGAAACUGCCGGGCUUGAGUAUGGGAGUGGUGAGUGGAAUUCCUGGUGUAGCGGUGAAAUGCGUAGAUAUCAGGAGGAACACCUGUGGCGAAAGCGGCUCACUGGACCAUAACUGACGCUGAUGCACGAAAGCUAGGGGAGCAAACAGGAUUAGAUACCCCGGUAGUCCCUGUCUCUUAUAC